CGCCUGUCUCUCUUCCUCCCGGUCCUCACUCCGUCAAUCCCCUCUUCCUUCUCUCGCCUCCCAUGGCGCCGCCGCUCCUGCCUCCUCACCUCCCGUGGCCCGCCCUCCCGGUCGUGUCUCUUCUCUCCAUCGCCAGUCGCGGAAGCUGCUGCGCUCCUCUUCCUCCCUAGCCGCAUCGCGCGAGAGACCCGAGGUCACCCGCCUCCGAUCCGACGGGCGAGGCGGCCAGCGGCUGCCUCCCGGUCAAAUCCGGCUGCCCACCGACCGACUCGAGCUGGCGGUGUUGUUCCCGGCGGAGCACGCCGUCGCGCCGUUGAUGUGGGGAUGCCAUAGGGGAGCACGCCGUCGCCAUCGGCUGCGUCCUGGGCGACUCCGACGCGCCCUGCCACGAGCUUCGUCUCCUCUGUCGCUGCCGUGAGCUUCUCCGCCGCUACCUCAUCUCCUCCAGCACCCUCUCUUGCUCGUGUAUCUGGACGAGAGGCAACCUACUGAGAGGAACAUGUCGACCUUGGUGACAUCUAGGAUGAGGCACGUCCAUGAAAUCGAUGGUGAGGCAGCCGGCCGUCAGGGGUGCGUUAGCUUGGGUGAUCCCCUAGCGAAGCUGCAGCGACCACACAAGGUGCAUGUAGCCGGCAUCAUGACACUCUUGGGGCACACUGGAGCCUGGUGAUUAUGUGCGUUCCUGCAAAAAAGAGUAAUUCAGGACCAAUCUUACUUCAUCUGGACUCCUUAGGGAUGCAUCCUACUAGAGGAAUUGAUGACGGCGGUGGUCAUUUUCCAGAUUCAGCAGUGCAUACUUGGAACAGGUAAUAAAAAGGGAAUCACUUAAUUUUAUUUGUAUUUGCACCAAUAAUCAUGCUUAGCAUAUUAGAACAAUUUACUUUGAGAACAAAUGGCUGGAAGAACGAUGCGAUUUGAUACCCUGUUAUGUUGGUGUCGAGAGAAAAUUUGGUGUUUCGUUUUUCUUAUAUGUACAAUUAUCUGCCGUGAAUCUUGUGCUUUCAAUCAAUGUGUUUAUUUUGGCUAAAUUCCGAGCCUUUUCUGGAUCUGAGCAAACGAUCCUGCAACGACAGCAAGAGGCAGCCCACAUGAAUCUAUUGAGGUGCACCUUUAUCUUGACCAUGCCUCUGGUUUUUAGUUAGACACCAUGUUUGCAGAUUCAAGUUCCAAAAUCAGGGUACUGUUUUUUAUUUCUUGCUUAAUUUUGUUUGGUAGUUCCCUUUGUGUUCGGUAGUGGGACAUGUGUUGGUCUACACAGGUAUUUCUUUUGUCUGUCAAAUGCUACCAAACAAACCAGUGCCAUGGUGGCUAGGAUGGGUCCUCUUAGAUGUCCAUUCGGAUUACAAAUUGUGGAGGGACCGGUCAACAUUUUUAGUAUUUUACUACAUGGCUGCUAAGUAUACAUAGAUUUAGGAAAACUACCUGCGGUAAUUCCUGCUCCGGCAUGCGUUUCUCUUAAUUCUUGAAUUAUGAAUUCAGACCAAGAUUUAUGAAUUCUAAUUAUUAGUUUGAUUUACAUUUUUGUUUUCAUUAUUGUGCCUUCUAUCCAAGGUGAUCAUAUGAAAUCUUUAAAUAACUUAUUAUCCAGUGGUUCCUCUGCCUGCUCAAUGGAAACAAUAUCGUGAGACAUAAUAGGGAGUAUGUUAGACAAAUACGCAUCUUUGUAGUGAAAUGCCAUGCUCUCAAGUAUCUUGCAGUGCCAACAUAUAGUUAAGAUGUAUUAGUAUCUUUGAAUGUUCCAACAAGUAGCCCGACUACACAUACUUGUAGUAAUUUUAAGCUUCAAUUUAUUAUUUUUGUGGUUUCAAGCUAGGAUUAGCACUUCCUGAUGUUAUUUUUGGCUUUGGAUUGUAAGUAAACUCUUUUUAGAUGAGCAUCCUUUUCCACCGACAAAUAAUAGCCAAUCAAUAUUUCCUUGAUAUAUUUUGCAUUACCGAUAUACUUUACAUGUAGAGAUUAUCAACAUUUGUAUGAGACCAAUAAUAGUUGUCGAAAUUUUGUAGUUGUGUGCUAUUGCCUGCAAGAUACUGGAUUCUUAUAGAGUCAAUUAACUGGGAGAAUGAUAACUACAAAAGGCGUUGCUAAUCUUGACACGACGAAACACAUUCUCUGUUAUGUCCAUGAUGUUUCACUCCUACCUUACUCCGCUGAAUUACUCUACCUAUAAAAGGGGGACAGAGUGAACCUGCUGACAUAUCUUAAUUGUUAUGCUGUGAUUGAAUUGUCGUUCCUCGGUACCGUGAGAACAUGGAGAUGUGCAGGCUCAUGGAGCAGGUUGUGUUCUCGGAUCCAUACAUGGCCUCUAAAUACACUUGCUGGGAUUCGCCUCUUCUUGACGCUGAAGCGGUUCGAGAGGAUGAUGGUUUUGGAACGUCCGAGUUGUUGCCGUUUAUGUGAUGGAUCUGUUGUUGCAUUCGUUGAUCUGUGCUCGUUGGUCUGCCGGUCAUUUGAUUUGUGCCAGCUUGCUACUCCUCGUCCACCACCUUGCAGGUCGACCUCUUUUCUUUUCCCCUUCUCUGCUUUUAGGCUAGGCUUGAAUUUUUGCAGCCAUGUAUUUUCCUUAGCUUGCCUGUGUAGAGCUGCUAUUAGAUUGAGUUUAUUUUUGUCUCGUUUCUGUUGGUGUGCAUGCUGGUGAAUGGGUGUGUUUGUUUUUCCUUAGCUUGCCUGUGUAGACCUUAUGUUUAUUGAUUUGCUCUUUGUGUGUUUGCCAAUGGUGGAAGUGGCGGAGAAGUGGAACCAGAAGUGGAGGUCAACAUAUUACAGGUGAUGCCUGCGUGUAAUAUGUUGACCUCCACUUCUGGUUCCACUUCUCCGCCGCUGCCCCACCGUCCAGGUCCAGCCCCACUCCCCCGUCACUCCUCCUACGUCCUCUGCAGGAGAAGAAUGUGUUAUGUUGGGCUCGGACUAUGUUGACAGCCAUCUUGGCCAGCAAGAGGAUGCUCACCUGCUUCGUCUUCCUCACCAGUCGGCUCUUAUUAACCAAUGAUGAUGUAUCUUCAAGGGCAGACUGUGAACAAGUACUACAAAGAGGAUAUCUCUAAAUCAAGUCGCACGCCCACUAGAGAAAACCACAGGUUGGUUUGCACAAGGUGCUGUAGUUUUCAAGAUAUAUCAUGUGCUCAAAUGUUUGAACCAAAGGCUUAUGUUGUGUACCGAAAGAAUCCUGAGAAAUUUUAGAUGGCUCAAGCUCAAGGCAUCACUCAAAACAGAGUAAGAGAAUAAGCUGGGAAUGGUGCAGUGGUAUGAAAUUAAAAAGAAACUGAAUAUAAAGUUGAAGAGGUGGAGCCAAGCAUGUUGGCCUGCAGUCAUGCUCUAGUUUAUUUACAGAAUAUGAUCCUAAUAAUUAUUCUAACCUCGAGGAGUCAAAGACAGAUGGCCUGUCAUGUUCACCCAUCAAGACAUCAAAAAGGAAGAGGGUGAUUGCUGAACCUGAAGGAGCACCAGCAAAGUCCUUGAAAAACGUGGUUGUGCCGGAGAAAUCAGACAGCACCCUAGUUAUAUUGGUUAUACAACCAGUAACACAAAACGUAGGACCGACUCCAGUAGACUGUACCCAUACUUCAUUGGCCACACCACUAGCCGCACCACACAGGACCUGCACUCCAGCAAAAGGUAUGCUGAUUUCAGUUGCCAUAGCACCAGCCGUACCACAGAAAAAUCCCACUCCAGCAAAAAGUA